rnacentral:misc_RNA from 1 species
GAACUUGCUUACUGUUCCUGACAUGGUUUAUGAUCCCUGGGUUUAACCCGUUGAGCAACCCACUCGGUGCAGCAAUCUUUGCAAACCUGUCAACUCGUUCUUUCUUCGCAAGCUCUAACUUUUUUUUCAUCCCAUCACUUUUACUUUUCCUCCCUUGCUGCUUUGGCAUGGGUGCACCUCCGUGACUAUGUGAAAGAAAACCAUUUUGUUUCAUCUCAUUCCAGAUUCUCAUCGACUCAUUCUCGUCCAAUGGACCAACCGAGCUUGCACACUCAAAAUCAUCCUUUGAUUUCAAGUACACAGAGUUCUUGCACGGAUACGAAGAUUCAUGAUUAAUAGAGCUAGAAACAUCUUCUGCAUUCAGAUCUAAAGCAAACCUUUUUGACUUCAUAGGGUCCCCCUCUUGACCAUUGUCUUUCUUCCCCAGAGAGGCCAGUUUGUUGGUUUCUUCAACAUGUGAUGCAAUCACAUUGCUAGAAGCAACAACAUUUGCAUUCAGAUCAAUCAAUCUAAGUGUAGGAUCAGUAACCAGAUUUCCGGUGCCCAUUUCAGUUUUUUCUUCUGUACGCAGAACAGAUUCAAGAUCCCUCAUUUUCACUCUUUUGUGACAAAGUCCUGGUCUUUCUUCAACUCCCACACGGCCCCUCUUCUCCCCAGCAAUGACCUUUGUCCCAGUCCCAGAUCCAGUUAUCCCAAUAGACUGAUCAGGAACCCCACAAUCCUCUUCCAUAAUUGACUAAAGAAAACUUUGUUUUAUCAAUUUAGGUUGAAGAAUUUCAACUAAAU